AACGAACGCUGGCGGCAGGCUUAACACAUGCAAGUCGAACGCCCCGCAAGGGGAGUGGCAGACGGGUGAGUAACACGUGGGAACAUGCCCAAAGGUACGGAAUAUUCUCGGGAAACUGGGAGCAAUACCGUAUGUGCCCGAAAGGGGAAAGAUUUAUCGCCUUGGAUUGGCCCGCGUUGGAUUAGCUAGUUGGUGGGGUAAAAGGACCUACCAAGGCGACGAUCCAUAGCUGGUCUGAGAGGACGACCAGCCACACUGGGACUGAGACACGGCCCAGACUCCUACGGGAGGCAGCAGUGGGGAACCGUU
rnacentral:rRNA from 1 species